rnacentral:tRNA from 1 species
CAUAGCUCAGCUGGGAGAGCGCCUGCUUUGCACGCAGGAGGUCAGGAGUUCGAUCCUCCUUGGCUCCA